rnacentral:rRNA from 1 species
GACAGAGGGGGCAAGCGUUGCUCGGAAUUACUGGGCGUAAAGGGCGCGUAGGCGGGAUGGCAAGUCGGUCGUGAAAUCCCUCGGCUCAACCGAGGAACGUCGAUCGAUACUGCUGUUCUUGAGGAUUGCAGAGGAGACUGGAAUUCCCGGUGUAGCGGUGAAAUGCGCAGAUAUCGGGAAGAACACCCGUGGCGAAGGCGGCUCUCUGGGACGGUACUGACGCUGAGACGCGAAAGCGUGGGGAGCGAACAGG